CACUACUUAAAAAGAACGAAGCGGUUCCUUAUUCUGCCAAUACGUCAAACCUUUGGUCGUCAAUCGUCCUUCCAUCCUCUGGGCUUUUUACUAUUUUGCCCUCCCACCAAAACGUAUACUUCUCAAACUGCCAUCGAACCGGCACACAAUUAGGGCUCGUCCGUCGCCCAGACGAUGCAACCUCGCCCCGUAAACACCGCCUCCCCCAGAUCCACAUCGUCGGACCGCACUUCCGAACUCACGUCGUCCACGUCGCCUCACCCCGCUCUCGAUCACCUCCCGGUCAGAUGCAGAAGGACGUCGACGGCGAUUUUCCACCAGGCGGCGGUGCUCCUGAGAAAGGGCCAGCAGCGGGACUGGACAAGGGCCAGCGGCUGGCAUGGAAAGCGGCCGGCCGCGGACAUCGAGGUGCUUCCCCUCAUCUCGUUCCUUUCCUCCAGUCUGUCUCCUUGGCCGGCAGCAGCCAAGGACCAGAGCAGAUGGCGGAGUCAGGGCCGAGAACAGGAGCUUGCCAGUUAAAUGCUAAACACUGCCUAGAGCAGGACAACGAAGCAACCGGAUUUGAUUGUCUUCUAUUUUCUAAUUAGUCCUGUGGAGUUCCUUUUAUGCGACGCAAAAGCCACAAAUAUUACUGCUGAUGUGUGGCGAUACUACUUGAUUAGUAAUCUUGGUAAGAGGUGUGGAGGUGCCUACGAGCGGAGUAUCACAGAGGCGAUCCUGGAGCACGCGCUCAAGAUUUGCGCAAACAAGAAUGUGGAAGUGAAAAUGGAGGUUGUGGUGGGGAAUCCCAAGGAGAAGAUCUUCUAGGUGAUGGCCGAACUCAAGGCUCAUCUGCUCAUCAUGGGGUGUUGGGCAUUUGGACCUGUCAAAAGGUGAGAGCCUUUCCGAGAAGACCAAAAAGAUAACUAGGGGCAUCAAUGUUGAUAAUAUGUAUAUGCGACUCUACCUUACCAUUUCAGGGAAGUGGCGCCCAGAUGCAAGGGUGGCGAGCACUCUACACUCCUCAGGCAUGGCUGACUGGCACCUACUAUGCAAGUUCGCCUCUCCAGGAAUUUCCAGAGGCUGCCCCAGCCGGAUCUAGCAAACAGGGAGACCAAACCAAAGCAAUGUGAUCUUGGUGGCCGCGUGGUUGAUUGGCUAGGGCGUGAGGGCUUGUGUUGGCACCUAUAUAAGCACA